rnacentral:tRNA from 1 species
GUAGUGCAAUGGAUAGCGCUUUAGGACUUCUAAUCCAAACAUUGGGGGUUCGAAUCCCGCUCG